rnacentral:tRNA from 1 species
GAAAGAUUUUAGUAUUAAAGUAAUAGAUUUCUAAUCUGUUUAUUGAAGAAUUUACAAUUUUUCAUCUUUUA